UGAAAAAAAAUUGUGUGCUUUCAUAUUUGGUAUAUUCUUCUAGGCUUGGCGAAUCUUUAAGUAAGUUACUUAUCCACUGAAGGUACACCAUGUCAGCCUCCUAGAACAUUUCUAUAAAACUCAGAGAUGUUUAUUUCUGAAAUGGAAUGAAAUCCUGCUUGUGAAACUAGUUGGAAGAAUUACUGCCAGCAUAGCUUCAUAAAUUGGAGGAAAAGAAAGAAAAAUAAUGUCUAGAGGCUCAGGACAAGCCAAUAUGAAACAGUGUCUUUGUUCUCCACUGAAGCAAAGCAUCUUGAGGAGAACAACAACGUGACCCUCUAGAUACACUGUAUGAUGCACGGACGUCUGACUGUGAACGUGAUCCGGAGACAAUACUCAGACGUCCCCGCAGUAAAAGCAUUUACUGUCCAAAUUCCUAGAGCGCCACAUCUCCCACUGGACCACAGUUUCUUCCAAGUCUCUCCUUCUGUAGCAGGGUUCCUUGAAUAAAUGUAUGCUU